UUAGGGUGCGUCACGUGACGGGCUCCGCCGUCCGCCGUCACGUGACGGGCCUUGGCG
rnacentral:miRNA from 1 species